GUGCUCGCCUUGGCAGCACAGAUACGAAAACUGGGACGAUACAGAGAAGACCAGCAAGGCCCCAGCGCAAGGAUGACGUACACAUUCGUGAAGUGUUCCAUAUUUUA
rnacentral:snRNA from 1 species